UUUCGAUCCUGGCUCAGAUUGAACGCUGGCGGGAUGCUUUACAUGCAAGUCGAACGGUAGCACGGACUUCGGUCUGGUGGCGAGUGGCGAACGGGUGAGUAAUGUAUCGGAACGUGCACAAAAUGGCGGGGGAUAACUACGCGAAAGCGUAGCUAAUACCGCAUACGCCCUUCGGGGGAAAGCGGGGGACCUUCGGGCCUCGCACUAUUAGAGCGGCCGAUAUCGGAUUAGCUAGUUGGUGGGGGUAACGGCUCACCAAGGCGACGAUCCGUAGCUGGUUUGAAGA
rnacentral:misc_RNA from 1 species